ensembl:antisense_RNA anr-53 ncRNA
UUUGAAAAAUUUUCAGAACGUCUCAUUACAAAAUUCGGUAGUUUUGGAUCAUUUUGGGUCUAAAAAAAACAAAGUCUCAAAUUUCGGUACUCCACCUUUAAAAACAAUAAGCAAUGGUGUUAUCUAACUGAUUAAGAGACUAUUAUUUUGAUUGAAAAAUGAACAAAUCUAGAAUCAAGUUAUUCUUCUGAAAAUUAACAUAAUAAAUUGUGCUCUGAAAAUCAAGUUGUUGUAGUCAGAUCAAGAUUUUUGUCCCGGCAAAACUCCAACUUGAUUGUUUGAUUAAAAAGUCCCAGUUUUUCAGACUGAAAUCCAAUUUUGGUCACUGAAAUCUUAGUUUUCCCGUCAUCAAAACUAACAGUCUACUGAAACAUGCACAAUUUGUAUCACUCAUACAAUUUCUCAGCUCAAAAUUCAAAAAAGAAGUUGGAGAGCGAGUCCGAUGAUGCCGCAAAGUUCAUCUUGGAUUGAAUUUCCGUUAGAAUAUAAACCAUUCACAGGCACAACAUUUUCCAGAAAUCAUUGUGGAGUUUUCAUACAGAUGAAUAUAUAAAAAUGACAAUAGAAAAUAAUACGAAACAAAAUUAGUUAGCAUCUUUUCAUUUUGAACAUCCACAUGUCACAAAAUUCGGAAUCUCCAAAAGAUAUGUCAAAUCUGGAUUUCCCGUUUGAAUACUCCAGGGUGAAGUCAUCGCCACCAGCAUAAUCCGGUUGAAAUAUUCUUGCAAACUCGAGAGGCGUGAAAUUUAUUUUUAGAAACGUAAUUGUGCAUUUCUGGAAAGUACAUCUUUGCAGCAGAUCCUGAAAAUUUGUUUGGUUAUAAAACCAUAAUUCAUUAUCAAAGUUAUAACUUCGAACUUACAUCUCGAAUUUUAAUCACAUUUUGUAUUGGAAAAUCUUGAGUAUCAAAAGUAAACUCCUCAAAAUGCAAGAAAUGUUCGAUUGGUUGAAAUUUAAACCAGGAAUCCCAAAAAUUGAAGUGCUUUGCCUUUUUCCAUUGAUCCAAAUGAGUUAUUCUUUUAAACUCGUGAUCUGAAAACAUUCCUCCUAAUUCAAUGCUUCUCAAUGUUUGACUAUUGAAUAAUGGAAGGAUUAAUAACAUAUCGUCAAUUGAUAAGUCAUGAUGCAGACGUAUAGUUUUCAUGUGGAUAUUCUCUUCCUCUUUUAAGACGUCUACUAGAGAGUGGACAACAUAUUCUCUAUCUUUUCCUUCCAAAAUGGUUUGAAUCAUUAGACAAGAAGCAUGCUUUUGAAAUAUUUUCAAGUCAUUGAAAGCUAUCUUCAAAUAGUUAUCAUCUCUUAUAUAUUUCUUUUUCCGUCGCCGAUAGUCGCACUUCACAUAUGUUCCACCAAGAGAUGAACUAGAGUAGGUGAUGGUAAUUCUGUCGAGAUCUAUCGAAACUCGGUUACUCUGCAACCAAACUCUGAGGUUGGUGAAGUGAGCUCCAAGUUUAUCAACAGCGGUCCGUAAAGUUCGACAAACUUUUCGGCAGGUCAGCCUGGAACCAGUUAGGUUUUUAUGGGUUUCGUUCAACCCAAAAUGUUUAAAUUUUCUAAAAUUUAAUUUUCCACUUUUCAAAUUGAAAACGUGAGCACAGGUACGGAGCAAAGCAUCCAUUUCUACAAUUCGUUCCAAAAAGUUCACGUUUUUUUUGUGGUUAAUUGAAAUUUGUAAAAUAAAAAAAUUUUUUGGGGAAUGAAACCAAUAAGUACCCCAGUUAGUUAUAAUUUACUGAACCUGCUCUGAAGCAGCUAAAUUUUUAGGAAAAUUCAUCAAUAACACCAUCAUUUUCACAUUAUGGCAUAUUGAAGACCAACGAAUAUUCAAAACUCGUUAGAUACAUAUGUAGAUAGUACUUAGUUAGCUUGUACGUUAGUCUUAAAUACUCACAAUUCCUCGAUUUCAAGCUUCUCCAGAACGUGAUUCGCAACUGUUAUAGGCAGAUCAAGCAGAGUUAGCCGUUUAGCAGACAUGUUUGGAAGUUUAUCUGAAAGUUUAGAAAUGAGAAUCGAAGUUGCGUAAGGUUAAUAUAUAUUCACGGUUUAUUGUACUUAAAAAUGAAACUACUAAUAGACACUGAAUUACCACAUAAUAAAAUAUGUGAAAAGCAAAAGAUGAACACGAUGUUUUUUUUUAAUAGAAGUUAGAAGUUUAGGGAAAGAAAGACGCAAUUCUCUGCAAAAGUAAUAAGAUAGUGUCUUUCUUUCUGAGAAAUAUGACUCAGAAUACAAAUUUUAUUAUCAAUACAUAAAACAGCCUGUUACGGUCUUGGUCAAGUAACAAUAAGCAAUGGCGUUAUCUAACUGAUAGAGAGACUAUUAUUUUAAAUGAAAAAUGAUAGUGAGAGAGAAUUGUUUCUUGACCAUCACAUGCAGUUCUAUUGAUAACAGAAACUGUAUUCUGAUUCAUCUUCCUCAGAAAAAAGACAUUUACUCAUUAUUUCACCAGAAAUGAUCACUGUUUCAGUUUUAUGUGUAAACGGUCUAUUUAUAAGGAAAUUGUACAUUUAUGUUAUCAAUUGUUUUUAUAUUGAUCGUUCAAUUUCGUGAUAACUUUUUCUAAUCUCAAUAUAUAUCUAAAUUUCUGUUCAUCGUUUCAUUUGUUUUUUUUCUUUCUCCAAAUCACUACUCAAAGAUAUUUGCUAUUUUGAAACAAAGUAGAGAGUUGAGAGAAACAUAUAGAAAUUUUGGAUUAAAAUUCAAAUUAAUAAAUGCUCUAGUAUUUGUG